AACGCACAUUGCGCCCCAUGGUACUCCAUGGGGCAUGCCUGUUCGAGCGUCAUUUACCCCGUCAAGCUUUGCUUGGUGUUGGGCGUCUGUCCCGCCUUGUGCGUGGACUCGCCUUAAAUGUAUUGGCAGCAGUCUUGCCAGCUUCACGCGCAGCACAUUGCGCUUCUAGAGGCUCUGGCGGUUCGGCGUCCAUUAAGUACAAGUACAAUUUGACCUCGGAUCAGGUAGGGAUACCCGCUGAACUUAA
rnacentral:misc_RNA from 1 species